AAAAAGAUGGAUGAAAUGAUAAAUGAAUUUGACAUGGAAGAUUGGGAAGGGAGGAAGUUGACAAUCUGUACUCCUGAAAAUAGGCAUAUUCUGUUCUAGUAAAGUAGAAGGUGUGGUUAUCAGCUGGGAGAAUUAGGGUCGGCAGUGGAUGAACUGCAUCUGAAAUUGGUCCAACCUGGCUGCACAAGGAACUCUUUGGUCAACACAAUUCUUAAAAUUAGAGGGUAUGAGAUGAGAAAGAGAACCAUCUGGGCAUAGAGAAUUGGCACCAAGCAAGAGCAAGGAACCAGACAUCAGUUACGGAAAAUGUAUCCCCACAUCACAUCAUGGGAGCCUAGCUCACAGACACUGCCAAUGGAAAUUGCAGAAAUAGAUCAACUGCAAAAGGUUACAUAGGGGACCCGCAUGCUACAUU
rnacentral:lncRNA from 1 species